UAAAUUGCAUCACUAGUAGCUAGAACUUUCUGUAAACUUUUUAAGGGAAUGUUUACAGUCUUUGUACACAAAUCGUUAUUAAAUGCAGUGAUGCUGUGUGUGGAAAACAAACAUUACUCUAACUUGAAGAGAGUUGGCUUUUGUUUGAAACACAACUCUUUAGCUUAAAUUUAACAAACACUUUUUGAGAGCCAAUUAUGAUUCAGACAUUCACAUCAGCAUUAUCUCAUUUAAUCUUCUUUAGUCUCAUUUAGUCUUAAUCACUAUGUUUGGUAGGCAAUAUUUAUUCUCAUUUUUACAGAUGAAGAAACAGAAAUCCAGAGCAUUAAGACAACCUUCCCAAGGACUGUUUGAUUCCAGUACUCAUAUAUUUUUUUCAUUAUGCCAUGUUUCAUCUCACAAGAUAAAAGUACUUAUUGGUUUGUUUUCUUCUCUAGGUGUAAUGUAAACCAUAGAAAAAGUGAUGCAUAGAUGUGAAGCCAGUGUGCUAAAACCCUUUCUGCUAGCCCUGAGACUUUCUGACAUAUCCGGUAUUAUGUUGUGAUGAAAUCGCUUCUACGAGCUGACUGCUGAAAGUUGGAACUUUUUAAAAGUUUGAAGAAACCUUGGAAUAAUCUGCCACCAGCUCUUUCUCCCUACUUAUUGAGAUGUUGCCAUUUCCCCAUUUCCUGACCUGAUCAAAUCUAAGAAGGCGUUCUUUUUCUUCAUGUUUGCUCUUUUCAUGCCCUUUGAAUAUAUUUUUGUUUUAUGAAAUAAGCCAAACACAUGAUUUCAUCAUAAGCCACUUCAGAGUUCUUUUUUUGUGAUGCCAUUAAAUAAAGAAAAAAUAAAUUUUCUUUCUUCAUGAAGUUACCAGAAGAAAAGUUAUGUGGUUGCAAAUUAUUUGGGAGACUUUAAAUAUCCUUUUCUCACUCUAUUUGCAUUUCUCUCCUGCCUAGAACAUCCAUUCUACUCCUAGCUUCUCCACAUUGGAGUCCUUCUACACCUGUCCUCCUAGACCAUGCCAACAUUUUUCAAACUUGCCUGAUGCCUUUUCCCUUCCUAAUCAAAAUUUGCCAUUAUUUUGUCUUGUUUUUCACAGCAACUUUGUGGAACAGUUAAAUAAUGCAAUUAUGGAUACAGGGAUUGAAAAUAGCCUACUUGAUUAUGCGUCUACUAUAAUGUAUGCUUCUAAAAGUGUACCUGUGUUAUAGACUGAAGAGGGAAUCAUAAAAUGGGAUUUUAUGCAAAUCAUCUUUAUAACAGACUAGAUAAGUGGUUUUCAAGCAGUGUUUCAUAAAACUUAGGGUCAGUGGAGGUGCCAAUGGGCAUCCUGAGAUGAAUGGGGGAAAGUGUAUAUGGUUUAAUGUUCCCUCAUUUCCUGUUUAACUAGAGAUGGUCCUCUUUUUUUCUGUUUCUGAUCAGGAGUCUAUGCGAGAUUUUAUGAAAUUCACAAACCCCCGGACCAUAACACUCUUAAGUGUACAGAAUUUUGUUUAUAUUAUGUUC
rnacentral:lncRNA from 10 species